rnacentral:rRNA from 1 species
CCUACGGGCUGCACCAGUGGGGAAUAUUGCACAAUGGGCGCAAGCCUGAUGCAGCCACGCCGCGUGUAUGAAGAAGGCCUUAGGGUUGUAAAGUACUUUCAGUUGGGGGAAGGCGUUGAUGCUAAUAUCAUCAACGAUUGACGUUACCAACAGAAGAAGCACCGGCUAACUCCGUGCCAGCAGCCGCGGUAACACGGAGGGUGCAAGCGUUAAUCGGAAUUACUGGGCGUAAAGCGCACGCAGGCGGUUGAUUAAGUUAGAUGUGAAAUCCCCGGGCUUAACCUGGGAAUGGCAUCUAAGACUGGUCAGCUAGAGUCUUGUAGAGGGGGGUAGAAUUCCAUGUGUAGCGGUGAAAUGCGUAGAGAUGUGGAGGAAUACCGGUGGCGUAGGCGGCCCCCUGGACAAAGACUGACGCUCAGGUGCGAAAGCGUGGGGAGCAAACAGGAUUAGAUACCCGUGUAGUC